rnacentral:rRNA from 1 species
UACGUAGGGUGCAAGCGUUAAUCGGAAUUACUGGGCGUAAAGCGUGCGCAGGCGGUUGUGCAAGGCAGAUGUGAAAUCCCCGGGCUCAACCUGGGAACUGCAUUUGUGACUGCACGGCUGGAGUGCGGCAGAGGGGGAUGGAAUUCCGCGUGUAGCAGUGAAAUGCGUAGAGAUGCGGAGGAACACCGAUGGCGAAGGCAAUCCCCUGGGCCUGCACUGACGCUCAUGCACGAAAGCGUGGGGAGCAAACAGG